UACGUAGGGCGCAAGCGUUGUCCGGAAUUAUUGGGCGUAAAGAGCUCGUAGGCGGUCUGUUGCGUCCGCUGUGAAAACUCGGGGCUUAACCCCGAGCCUGCAGUGGAUACGGGCAGACUAGAGGUAGGUAGGGGAGAAUGGAAUUCCCGGUGUAGCGGUGAAAUGCGCAGAUAUCAGGAGGAACACCGAUGGCGAAGGCAGCUCGCUGGGACGGUACUGACGCUGAGGCGCGAAAGCGUGGGGAGCGAACCGG
rnacentral:rRNA from 1 species